GAUGAACGCUGGCGGCGUGCCUAAUACAUGCAAGUCGAGCGAACAGACGAGGAGCUUGCUCCUCUGACGUUAGCGGCGGACGGGUGAGUAACACGUGGAUAACCUACCUAUAAGACUGGGAUAACUUCGGGAAACCGGAGCUAAUACCGGAUAAUAUAUUGAACCGCAUGGUUCAAUAGUGAAAGACGGUUUUGCUGUCACUUAUAGAUGGAUCCGCGCCGCAUUAGCUAGUUGGUAAGGUAACGGCUUACCAAGGCAACGAUGCGUAGCCGACCUGAGAGGGUGAUCGGCCACACUGGAACUGAGACACGGUCCAGACUCCUACGGGAGGCAGCAGUAGGGAAUAUUCCGCAAUGGGCGAAAGCCUGACGGAGCCACGCCGCGUGAGUGAUGAAGGUCCUCGGAUCGUAAAACUCUGUUAUUAGGGAAGAACAAAUGUGUAAGUAACUAUGCACGUCUUGACGGUACCUAAUCAGAAAGCCACGGCUAACUACGUG
rnacentral:rRNA from 1 species